AUGAACGCUAGCUACAGGCUUAACACAUGCAAGUCGAGGGGCAGCGGGAUUGAAGCUUGCUUCAAUUGCCGGCGACCGGCGCACGGGUGAGUAACGCGUAUCCAACCUUCCGCUUACUCGGGGAUAGCCUUUCGAAAGAAAGAUUAAUACCCGAUGGUAUCUUAAGCACGCAUGAGAUUAAGAUUAAAGAUUUAUCGGUAAGCGAUGGGGAUGCGUUCCAUUAGGCAGUUGGCGGGGUAACGGCCCACCAAACCUACGAUGGAUAGGGGUUCUGAGAGGAAGGUCCCCCACAUUGGAACUGAGACACGGUCCAAACUCCUACGGGAGGCAGCAGUGAGGAAUAUUGGUCAAUGGGCGAGAGCCUGAACCAGCCAAGUAGCGUGAAGGAUGACGGCCCUACGGGUUGUAAACUUCUUUUGUGCGGGAAUAAAGGAACCUACGUGUAGGUUUUUGCAUGUACCGUAACGAAUAAGCAUCGGCUAACUCCGUGCCAGCAGCCGCGGUAAUACGGAGGAUGCGAGCGUUAUCCGGAUUUAUUGGGUUUAAAGGGAGCGUAGACGGGUUUUUAAGUCAGCUGUGAAAGUUUGGGGCUCAACCUUAAAAUUGCAGUUGAAACUGGAGACCUUGAGUACGGUUGAGGCAGGCGGAAUUCGUGGUGUAGCGGUGAAAUGCUUAGAUAUCACGAAGAACCCCGAUUGCGAAGGCAGCCUGCUAAGCCGCCACUGACGUUGAGGCUCGAAAGUGCGGGUAUCAAACAGGAUUAGAUACCCUGGUAGUCCACGCCGUAAACGAUGAAUACUAGGUGUUGGGAAGCAUUGCUUCUCGGUGCCGUCGCAAACGCAGUAAGUAUUCCACCUGGGGAGUACGUUCGCAAGAAUGAAACUCAAAGGAAUUGACGGGGGCCCGCACAAGCAGUGGAGUAUGUGGUUUAAUUCGAAGCAACGCGAAGAACCUUACCAGGUCUUGACAUCCUUUGACCACUCUAGAGAUAGAGCUUUCCCUUCGGGGACAAAGUGACAGGUGGUGCAUGGUUGUCGUCAGCUCGUGCCGUGAGGUGUCGGCUUAAGUGCCAUAACGAGCGCAACCCUUGCUGCCAGUUACUAACAGGUCAUGCUGAGGACUCUGGCAGGACUGCCAUCGUAAGAUGCGAGGAAGGUGGGGAUGACGUCAAAUCAGCACGGCCCUUACGUCCGGGGCUACACACGUGUUACAAUGGGGAGUACAGAGGGCAGCUACCGGGCGACCGGAUGCGAAUCCCGAAAGCUCCUCUCAGUUCGGACUGGAGUCUGCAACCCGACUCCACGAAGCUGGAUUCGCUAGUAAUCGCGCAUCAGCCACGGCGCGGUGAAUACGUUCCCGGGCCUUGUACACACCGCCCGUCAAGCCAUGAAAGCCGGGGGUACCUGAAGUACGUAACCGCGAGGAUCGUCCUAGGGUAAAACCGGUAAUUGGGGCU
rnacentral:rRNA from 1 species